rnacentral:rRNA from 1 species
UACGUAGGGUGCGAGCGUUAAUCGGAAUUACUGGGCGUAAAGCGUGCGCAGGCGGUUUGUUAAGACAGGCGUGAAAUCCCCGGGCUCGACCUGGGAACUGCGCUUGUGACUGGCAGGCUAGAGUACGGCAGAGGGGGGUGGAAUUCCACGUGUAGCAGUGAAAUGCGUAGAGAUGUGGAGGAACACCAAUGGCGAAGGCAGCCCCCUGGGUCGAUACUGACGCUCAUGCACGAAAGCGUGGGUAGCAAACAGG